rnacentral:rRNA from 1 species
CAACUUUUAACAACGGAUCUCUUGGUUCUCGCAUCGAUGAAGAACGUAGCAAAGUGCGAUAACUAAUGUGAAUUGCAUAUUCAGUGAAUCAUCGAGUCUUUGAACGCAACUUGCGCUCAUUGGUAUUCCAAUGAGCACGCCUGUUUCAGUAUCAAA